rnacentral:rRNA from 1 species
CGAACGGGUGAGUAACACGUGGGUAACCUGCCCAUAAGAGGGGGAUAACGAUCCGGAAACGGGUGCUAAUACCGCAUAGUUUCUUGAUCGCAUGAUCGGGAAAGGAAAGACGGCCUUUGUGCUGUCGCUUAUGGAUGGACCCGCGGCGUAUUAGUUAGUUGGUGAGGUAACGGCUCACCAAGACGAUGAUACGUAGCCGACCUGAGAGGGUGAUCGGCCACAUUGGGACUGAGACACGGCCCAAACUCCUACGGGAGGCAGCAGUAGGGAAUCUUCCGCAAUGGACGAAGUCUGACGGAGCAACGCCGCGUGAGUGAAGAAAGGUUUUCGGAUCGUAAAACUCUGUUGUCAGAGAAGAACAAGUUGGAGAGUAACUGCUCCAGCCUUGACGGUAUCUGACCAGAAAGCCACGGCUAACUACGUGCCAGCAGCGGC